UACGGAGGGGACGAGCGUUGUCCGAAGUUACUGGGCGUAAAGCGCGCGUAGGCGGGUUGGCAAGUCUGCUGUGGAAGCCCGGGGCUUAACCCCGGAGGGUCGGUGGAUACUGCCAGUCUUGAAGGUGCUAGGGGGAGAUGGAAUUACCGGUGUAGCGGUGAAAUGCGUAGAUAUCGGUAGGAACACCAGUGGCGAAGGCGGUCUCCUGGGGCACUCUUGACGCUGAGGCGCGAAAGCUGGGGGAGCGAACGGG
rnacentral:rRNA from 1 species